rnacentral:rRNA from 1 species
CCUACGGGAGGCAGCAGUAGGGAAUCUUCGGCAAUGGGCGAAAGCCUGACCGAGCAACGCCGCGUGAAUGAUGAAGGCCUUCGGGUCGUAAAAUUCUGUUAUAAGGGAAGAACGACUUUAGUAGGAAAUGGCUAGAGUGUGACGGUACCUUAUGAGAAAGCCACGGCUAACUACGUGCCAGCAGCCGCGGUAAUACGUAGGUGGCGAGCGUUAUCCGGAAUUAUUGGGCGUAAAGAGCGCGCAGGUGGUUGAUUAAGUCUGAUGUGAAAGCCCACGGCUUAACCGUGGAGGGUCAUUGGAAACUGGUCGACUUGAGUGCAGAAGAGGGAAGUGGAAUUCCAUGUGUAGCGGUGAAAUGCGUAGAGAUAUGGAGGAACACCAGUGGCGAAGGCGGCUUCCUGGUCUGUAACUGACACUGAGGCGCGAAAGCGUGGGGAGCAAACAGGAUUAGAUACCCUGGUAGUCCACGCCGUAAACGAUGAGUGCUAAGUGUUGGGGGUCGAACCUCAGUGCUGAAGUUAACGCAUUAAGCACUCCGCCUGGGGAGUACGGUCGCAAGACUGAAACUCAAAGGAAUUGACGGA